CCUACGGGCGGCAGCAGUGGGGAAUAUUGGACAAUGGGGGCAACCCUGAUCCAGCCAUGCCGCGUGUGUGAAGAAGGCCCUCGGGUUGUAAAGCACUUUCAGUGAGGAAGAACGCCUGGUGGUUAAUACCCAUCAGGAAAGACAUCACUCACAGAAGAAGCACCGGCUAACUCCGUGCCAGCAGCCGCGGUAAUACGGAGGGUGCGAGCGUUAAUCGGAAUUACUGGGCGUAAAGCGCGCGUAGGUGGCUUGAUAAGCCGGUUGUGAAAGCCCCGGGCUCAACCUGGGAACGGCAUCCGGAACUGUCAAGCUAGAGUGCAGGAGAGGAAGGUAGAAUUCCCGGUGUAGCGGUGAAAUGCGUAGAGAUCGGGAGGAAUACCAGUGGCGAAGGCGGCCUUCUGGACUGACACUGACACUGAGGUGCGAAAUCGUGGGUAGCAAACAGGAUUAGAUACCCUAGUAGUC
rnacentral:rRNA from 1 species